rnacentral:rRNA from 2 species
GCGUGAGGGAGGAGGCUCUUGGGUUGUAAACCUCUUUUCUCAAGGAAGAACAAAAUGACGGUACUUGAGGAAUAAGCAUCGGCUAACUCCGUGCCAGCAGCCGCGGUAAUACGGAGGAUGCAAGCGUUAUCCGGAAUGAUUGGGCGUAAAGCGUCCGCAGGUGGCUUUGUAAGUCUGCUGUUAAAGAGUGAGGCUCAACCUCAUAAAAGCAGUGGAAACUACAUAGCUUGAGUACGUUCGGGGCAGAGGGAAUUCCUGGUGUAGCGGUGAAAUGCGUAGAGAUCAGGAAGAACACCGGUGGCGAAAGCGCUCUGCUAGGCCGUAACUGACACUGAGGGACGAAAGCUAGGGGAGCGAAUGGGAUUAGAUACCCCAGUAGUCCUAGCCGUAAACGAUGGAUACUAGGCGUUGUCUGUAUCGACCCGGACAGUGCCGUAGCUAACGCGUUAAGUAUCCCGCCUGGGGAGUACGCAGGCAACUGUGAAACUCAAAGGAAUUGACGGGGGCCCGCACAAGCGGUGGAGUAUGUGGUUUAAUUCGAUGCAACGCGAAGAACCUUACCAGGACUUGACAUGUCGCGAAUCUUGAUGAAAGUCAGGAGUGCCUUCGGGAGCGCGAACACAGGUGGUGCAUGGCUGUCGUCAGCUCGUGUCGUGAGAUGUUGGGUUAAGUCCCGCAACGAGCGCAACCCUCGUUUUUAGUUGCCAGCAUUAAGUUGGGCACUCUAGAGAGACUGCCGGUGACAAACCGGAGGAAGGUGGGGAUGACGUCAAGUCAGCAUGCCCCUUACGUUCUGGGCUACACACGUACUACAAUGCAACGGACAAAGGGCAGCUACACAGCGAUGUGAUGCUAAUCUCAUAAACCGUUGCUCAGUUCAGAUCGCAGGCUGCAACUCGCGUGCGUGAAGUCGGAAUCGCUAGUAAUUGCAGGUCAGCAUACUGCAGUGAAUUCGUUCCCGGGCCUUGUACACACCGCCCGUCACACCAUGGAAGCUGGCAACGCCCGAAGUCAUUACCCCAACCGCUUGCGGAGGGGGAUGCCUAAGGCAGUGCUGGUGACUGGGGUGAAGUCGUAACAAGGUAGCCGUACCGGAAGGUGUGGCUGGAUCACCUCCUUU